AUCCGGGACCCCCGCCCCCCCCAGCCACGCCCCUGCCCCGGCACCCAUGGCCACCACAGGCCUCCCUCCUCUGCUUCCUGCCGAGAACAAAGCCUUUGCCAGCAACCUCCCGACCCUGAGUGUGGCCAAGGCCCCUGCAUCUGGGCCAGGGAAGCCCUCGGGGCUGCAGUAUGACAGCAAGUUGAGUGGCCUGAAGAAACCACCCCCACUUCAGCCCAGCAAAGAAGCCUGGUGAGUGGCAGCGCGCCCUCGUGUUCCCCGCCCCCAGCCUUCCAGAGGCCCGAGGGCCGAGGGGCCCGCCCUGCAGCAGGGGUCGGGCAGCUGGGGUGCAGAGUCCUGCGCCACCUCCUCUCAGCCCCGCGGCUUCCCAGGGCCGGUUCCCUCACAGACCCUCAGUCUCCCUCGCUGGAAAAUGGGUGCUGACAGUCACGAGAAUAGGCUGAGGGGUGAGGAUUCGAUGAGACUGUGCUACGAGCAUUCACGUGGCACCGCUGCGCUGCCAGCAUUAAGAGGGAGGCACUGGUGUGCCCUGGUCACUGCGCACCCGGGCACCAGGGCGGGUGGGCAGUGGAGGGGUGGUGGGUAGAUGGGUGGAGGGGUGGGUGCUUGCCUGCGCACUCUCCCUGUCUCCUCCUUCCACCAAGUGUUGGUCAGGUGCUCACUCCUUGCCCGCCCUGUGCUGGGUUCUGGAAACAAGACGGACCCAAUCCUGCCCCAUGGUGUGUGGGCACCGCUGGUCUUCAGCACAGGGUCGGGGAGACCAUCACACGAUGGAGACAUAACUCACUAACCUGCGCUCAGGUGGGAAGCCUUGUGAGAGAAGAAUAGGAUUUUACCGGCUCAGCAACCUCCCUGAGCUCCUGAGGUUGCGGUUGGGCCGCUGGCAGCGUGGGGCCGUGCUGCCCCCCGGUGGCGGGAGACGGCAUAGCAUGGGAUGCGGUUCAGGCUCUGCCGCUGGCUCCCAGCUCUGCCGCUUCCUUCCUCGCUGUAUGUUUUGAGUGGAGGCACUUCCCCUUUCGGGGCCUCAGUUUUCUCAUCUGUGAGAUGGAGAUAAAGAGAGCACGGCUGCCUUUGGUUGUCACCAGAGACUCAGGGAGACAGAUCAGGACAGUCCGCGCCUGUGUCCUAAGUGUCCUCUUGCACCUGCUGUUGUCGGCCUGGGGGCCUGGGCCGGGGGCCUUUCUCCUGGCCUCACCACCAGCUCUGCGCGUGUGGUCCCCCCCCCCCCCCC